rnacentral:rRNA from 1 species
GCUAGUAAGACCCCUUGAAGAACACAAGGUUGAUAGGUCAGAGGUGUAAGUGCGGUAACGUAUUUAGCUGACUGAUACUAAUAGGUCGAGGGCUUGACCAAUAA